UUAAGUUAGAAAGGGCGCACGGUGGAUGCCUUGACACUAGGAGUCGAUGAAGGACGGGACUAACGCCGAUAUGCUUCGGGGAGCUGUAAGUAAGCUUUGAUCCGAAGAUUUCCGAAUGGGGAAACCCACCAUACGUAAUGGUAUGGUAUCCUUAUCUGAAUACAUAGGGUAAGGAAGACAGACCCAGGGAACUGAAACAUCUAAGUACCUGGAGGAAGAGAAAGCAAAUGCGAUUUCCUGAGUAGCGGCGAGCGAAACGGAACAUAGCCCAAACCAAGAGGCUUGCCUCUUGGGGUUGUAGGACAUUCUAUACGGAGUUACAAAGGAACGAGGUAGACGAAGCGACCUGGAAAGGUCCGUCGUAGAGGGUAACAACCCCGUAGUCGAAACUUCGUUCUCUCUUGAAUGUAUCCUGAGUACGGCGGAACACGUGAAAUUCCGUCGGAAUCUGGGAGGACCAUCUCCCAAGGCUAAAUACUCCCUAGUGAUCGAUAGUGAACCAGUACCGUGAGGGAAAGGUGAAAAGCACCCCGGAAGGGGAGUGAAAGAGAUCCUGAAACCGUGUGCCUACAAAUAGUCAGAGCCCGUUAACGGGUGAUGGCGUGCCUUUUGUAGAAUGAACCGGCGAGUUACGAUCCCGUGCGAGGUUAAGCUGAAGAGGCGGAGCCGCAGCGAAAGCGAGUCUGAAUAGGGCGUUUAGUACGUGGUCGUAGACCCGAAACCAGGUGAUCUACCCAUGUCCAGGGUGAAGUUCAGGUAACACUGAAUGGAGGCCCGAACCCACGCACGUUGAAAAGUGCGGGGAUGAGGUGUGGGUAGCGGAGAAAUUCCAAUCGAACCUGGAGAUAGCUGGUUCUCCCCGAAAUAGCUUUAGGGCUAGCCUUAAGUGUAAGAGUCUUGGAGGUAGAGCACUGAUUGGACUAGGGGUCCUCAUCGGAUUACCGAAUUCAGUCAAACUCCGAAUGCCAAUGACUUAUCCUUAGGAGUCAGACUGCGAGUGAUAAGAUCCGUAGUCAAAAGGGAAACAGCCCAGACCGCCAGCUAAGGUCCCAAAGUGUGUAUUAAGUGGAAAAGGAUGUGGAGUUGCUUAGACAACUAGGAUGUUGGCUUAGAAGCAGCCACCAUUUAAAGAGUGCGUAAUAGCUCACUAGUCGAGUGACUCUGCGCCGAAAAUGUACCGGGGCUAAAUACACCACCGAAGCUGCGGAUUGAUACCAAUGGUAUCAGUGGUAGGGGAGCGUUCUAAGGACAGUGAAGUCAGACCGKAAGGACUGGUGGAGUGCUUAGAAGUGAGAAUGCCGGUAUGAGUAGCGAAAGACGGGUGAGAAUCCCGUCCACCGAAUGCCUAAGGUUUCCUGAGGAAGGCUCGUCCGCUCAGGGUUAGUCAGGACCUAAGCCGAGGCCGACAGGCGUAGGCGAUGGACAACAGGUUGAUAUUCCUGUACCACCUCUUUAUCGUUUGAGCAAUGGAGGGACGCAGAAGGAUAGAAGAAGCGUGCGAUUGGUUGUGCACGUCCAAGCAGUUAGGCUGAUAAGUAGGCAAAUCCGCUUAUCRURAAGGCUGAGCUGUGAUGGGGAAGCUCCUUAUGGAGCGAAGUCUUUGAUUCCCCGCUGCCAAGAAAAGCUUCUAGCGAGAUAAAAGGUGCCUGUACCGCAAACCGACACAGGUAGGCGAGGAGAGAAUCCUAAGGUGUGCGAGAGAACUCUGGUUAAGGAACUCGGCAAAAUGACCCCGUAACUUCGGGAGAAGGGGUGCUUUCUUAACGGAAAGCCGCAGUGAAUAGGCCCAAGCGACUGUUUAGCAAAAACACAGCUCUCUGCGAAGCCGUAAGGCGAAGUAUAGGGGGUGACACCUGCCCGGUGCUGGAAGGUUAAGGAGAGGGGUUAGCGUAAGCGAAGCUCUGAACUGAAGCCCCAGUAAACGGCGGCCGUAACUAUAACGGUCCUAAGGUAGCGAAAUUCCUUGUCGGGUAAGUUCCGACCCGCACGAAAGGUGUAACGAUUUGGGCACUGUCUCAACCAGAGACUCGGUGAAAUUAUAGUACCUGUGAAGAUGCAGGUUACCCGCGACAGGACGGAAAGACCCCGUGGAGCUUUACUGUAGCCUGAUAUUGAAUUUUGGUACAGUUUGUACAGGAUAGGCGGGAGCCAUUGAAACCGGAGCGCUAGCUUCGGUGGAGGCGCUGGUGGGAUACCGCCCUGACUGUAUUGAAAUUCUAACCUACGGGUCUUAUCGACCCGGGAGACAGUGUCAGGUGGGCAGUUUGACUGGGGCGGUCGCCUCCUAAAGUGUAACGGAGGCGCCCAAAGGUUCCCUCAGAAUGGUUGGAAAUCAUUCGUAGAGUGCAAAGGCAUAAGGGAGCUUGACUGCGAGACCUACAAGUCGAGCAGGGACGAAAGUCGGGCUUAGUGAUCCGGUGGUUCCGCAUGGAAGGGCCAUCGCUCAACGGAUAAAAGCUACCCCGGGGAUAACAGGCUUAUCUCCCCCAAGAGUCCACAUCGACGGGGAGGUUUGGCACCUCGAUGUCGGCUCAUCGCAUCCUGGGGCUGUAGUCGGUCCCAAGGGUUGGGCUGUUCGCCCAUUAAAGCGGUACGCGAGCUGGGUUCAGAACGUCGUGAGACAGUUCGGUCCCUAUCCGUCGUGGGCGUAGGAAAUUUGAGAGGAGCUGUCCUUAGUACGAGAGGACCGGGAUGGACGCACCGCUGGUGUACCAGUUGUUCUGCCAAGGGCAUAGCUGGGUAGCUAUGUGCGGAAGGGAUAAGUGCUGAAAGCAUCUAAGCAUGAAGCCCCCCUCAAGAUGAGAUUUCCCAUAGCGUAAGCUAGUAAGAUCCCUGAAAGAUGAUCAGGUUGAUAGGUUCGAGGUGGAAGCAUGGUGACAUGUGGAGCUGACGAAUACUAAUAGAUCGAGGACUUAACCAU
rnacentral:rRNA from 1 species